rnacentral:rRNA from 1 species
AUUGAACGCUGGCGGCAUGCUUUACACAUGCAAGUCGAACGGCAGCGCGGGCUUCGGCCUGGCGGCGAGUGGCGAACGGGUGAGUAAUGCAUCGGAACGUGCCCAGUAGUGGGGGAUAGCCCGGCGAAAGCCGGAUUAAUACCGCAUACGACCUGAGGGUGAAAGCGGGGGACCGAAAGGCCUCGCGCUAUUGGAGCGGCCGAUGUCGGAUUAGCUAGUUGGUGGGGUAAAGGCUUUCCAAGGCGACGAUCCGUAGCUGGUCUGAGAGGACGACCAGCCACACUGGGACUGAGACACGGCCCAGACUCCUACGGGAGGCAGCAGUGGGGAAUUUUGGACAAUGGGGGCAGCCCUGAUCCAGCCAUGCCGCGUGCGGGAAGAAGGCCUUCGGGUUGUAAACCGCUUUUGUUCGGGAAGAAAUCCUCUGGGCUAAUACCCCGGGGGGAUGACGGUACCGGAAGAAUAAGCACCGGCUAACUACGUG